rnacentral:rRNA from 1 species
CCUACGGGGUGCAGCAGUGAGGAAUAUUGGUCAAUGGGCUUACGCCUGAACCAGCCAAGUCGCGUGAGGGAAGACUGCCCUAUGGGUUGUAAACCUCUUUUGUCAGGGAGCAACGCCGGCUACGUGUAGCCGGACUGAGAGUACCUGAAGAAAAAGCAUCGGCUAACUCCGUGCCAGCAGCCGCGGUAAUACGGAGGAUGCGAGCGUUAUCCGGAUUUAUUGGGUUUAAAGGGUGCGUAGGCGGAAUGCCAAGUCAGCGGUAAAAGCGCGGGGCUCAACCUCGCUCCGCCGUUGAAACUGGCGUUCUUGAGUGGGCGAGAAGUAUGCGGAAUGCGUGGUGUAGCGGUGAAAUGCAUAGAUAUCACGCAGAACUCCGAUUGCGAAGGCAGCAUACCGGCGCCCAACUGACGCUGAAGCACGAAAGCGUGGGUAUCGAACAGGAUUAGAUACCCUAGUAGUC